UACGUGGGAGGCGAGCGUUGUCCGGAAUUACUGGGCGUAAAGAGCGCGUAGGUGGCGCGAUACGACCGGUGUGAAAUCCUCCGGCUCAACUGGAGGGGGUCACUGGUAACGGUCGUGCUAUGAGUGCAGGAGAGGGAAGUGGAACUCCGGGAGUAGCGGUGAAAUGCGUAGAGACCCGGAGGAACACCAGUGGCGAAGGCGGCUUCCUGGUCUGCGACUGACGCUGUGGCGCGAAAGCUAGGGGAGCAAACGGG
rnacentral:rRNA from 1 species